rnacentral:rRNA from 1 species
UACGGAGGGGGCUAGCGUUGUUCGGAAUUACUGGGCGUAAAGCGCACGUAGGCGGCUUGGAAAGUUGGAGGUGAAAGCCCAGAGCUCAACUCUGGAAUUGCCUUCAAAACUCCCAAGCUGGAGUUCGGAAGAGGAGAGUGGAAUUCCCAGUGUAGAGGUGAAAUUCGUAGAUAUUCGGCGGAACACCAGUGGCGAAGGCGACUCACUGGCCCGAUACUGACGCUGAGGCGCGAAAGCGUGGGGAGCAAACAGG